GUGGGGAAUAUUCCGCAAUGGACGAAAGUCUGACGGAGCAACGCCGCGUGAGUGAUGAAGGUUUUCGGACUGUAAAGCUCUGUUGUUUAGGACGAAAGUGCCUGUUGCAAAUAGUUACAGGUAUUGACGGUACUGAACGAGGAAGCCACGGCUAACUACGUGCCAGCAGCCGCGGUAAUACGGAGGUGGCAAGCGUUGUCCGGAAUUAUUGGGCGUAAAGAGCAUGUAGGCGGGAAUCUAAGUCUGUUGUGAAAAUGCGGGGCUCAACCCCGUAUUGCGAUGGAAACUGGGUUUCUUGAGUGCAGGAGAGGAAAGGGGAAUUCCCAGUGUAGCGGUGAAAUGCGUAGAUAUUAGGAGGAAUACCAGUGGCGAAAGCGGCUUUCUGGACGACAACUGACGCUGAGGCGCGAAAGCCAGGGGAGCAAACGGGAUUAGAUACCCUUGUAGUCC
rnacentral:rRNA from 1 species